rnacentral:antisense_RNA from 1 species
AACCGACAAGUACACGCCCCUUCUCGCACUCCACUAGCUAGUAAGCUGAGCUACAAGGUGUGCCAGGCACCCAGGACGCCGAUUCACUGCUUCAGUGAAGGCCCAGCUCAAAUGCCACCUCUUCCAUGAAGAUUUCCGUGAUCCACAAUGAUAGCAUCUCCAGCAAUUGCUUCUAUAAUGAAUAGCAUGAGUCAUUCUGCAGGAUAUUGAUCUUCCUUUUUUUACUCCUAGACUGAAUUUUUCCACCACCUGGAUGAACAUAGCAGAAAGAACAUAGUGUUUUAGAGUCAGACACAAUAGGAAUCAGGCACUUUGGAAUCUUGGCUCUGCCACCUUUGAGCUAUCCCAAGUCAAACACCCAUCAGACCUUUGCCAGGUGUCCAGCCUGGGCACUACGUUUCAGAAAAUGAUGCACAUAGAAUCCCUAACUGAAAGGAGAUCGCAGCUCAUUUGGUACAAAGUGGCUGAUUCUUUGACUGGUGAGCCACUCCCCAGGCAGGCAUAGCAUCACAGAGUUUCUGAGAAGGUACACCCUGGAUGCAAAGCGGUGUUGCUGAAAGACUCC